AUCAUGACUAGAUCCACACUCAUCCAUGGAAGUUGCGAUGUUCGUCGAGCGCGAUGCCGGUCAUUACGGAGGGUAUCAUUACCGGCGACUGCUAAUGAUACGGCGAGGCCUCACGGACGAGACACGAGAGCAGAUAGCUACAACUCGACGAGUGCGGCGUGUUAAUCGCCAUGACAGAGAUGUACUCUCCAGGUAAUGGUACGGCUGUGGUUAAAUUGACACAGUGAAGAAUUUAAUAUUGUUAGAGUAUUUCGUAAGUGCUUGGGAAUGUUAAAAAAUUGAUGUAGAUACCUACGAUUACUUAUAAAAAUAAAAACACUUUGUUCUGUUA